rnacentral:rRNA from 1 species
ACUCAAAUGAAUUGACGGGGGCCCGCACAAGCGGUGGAGCAUGUGGAUUAAUUCGUCACUAACCGAAGAACCUUACCCAGGCUUGACAUCCUAGGAAUCCUGCUGAAAGGUGGGAGUGCCCUCGGGAGCCUAGAGACAGGUGUUGCAUGGCUGUCGUCAGCUCGUGUCGUGAGAUGUUGGGUUAAGUCCCGCAACGAGCGCAACCCUCACCGUAUGUUGCCAGCGUAAAGUCGGGAACUCUUACGGAACUGCCCGUGCAAGCGGGAGGAAGGUGGGGAUGACGUCAAGUCGGCAUGGCCCUUACGCCUGGGGCUUCACACAUGCUACAAUGGACAGUAACAGAGGGCCGCGAGACCGUGAGGUGGAGCUAAUCCCAAAAAUCUGUCCUCAGUUCGGAUUGUAGGCUGCAACUCGCCUACAUGAAGCCGGAAUCGCUAGUAACCGCAGGUCAGCUAAACUGCGGUGAAUACGUUCCCGGGCCUUGUACACACCGCCCGU